rnacentral:tRNA from 1 species
AAAAAUUUAGUUAAACUAUAACAUUAGCUUGUCAAGCUAAAAUUAUUUAAAAUAAAUAAUUUUUA